UACGUAGGGUGCGAGCGUUGUCCGGAUUUAUUGGGCGUAAAGAGCUCGUAGGCGGUUUGUCGCGUCGGCCGUGAAAUCUCCACGCUUAACGUGGAGCGUGCGGUCGAUACGGGCAGACUUGAGUUCGGUAGGGGAGACUGGAAUUCCUGGUGUAGCGGUGAAAUGUGUAGAGAUCGGGAGGAACACCGGUGGCGAAGGCGGGUCUCUGGGCAAUUCCUGACGCUGAGGCGCGAAAGCGUGGGGAGCAAACGGG
rnacentral:rRNA from 1 species